AACGUAGGACACAAGCGUUAUCCGGAGUGACUGGGCGUAAAGGGCGUGUAGGCGGUUGAGUAAGUCUGAUAUGAAAGCUCCUGGCUCAACUGGGAGAGGCUGUCGGAGACUGCUGAACUCGAAUGAGGAAGAGGCAGGUGGAAUUCCGCGUGUAGUGGUGAAAUGCGUAGAGAUGCGGAGGAACACCAGUGGCGAAAGCGGCCUGCUGGUUCUACAUUGACGCUGAGGCGCGAAAGCAUGGGGAGCGAACGGG
rnacentral:rRNA from 1 species